CCGGAUAUGGCCUAAGUGGCAAGGCGCUUGAUUUGGGUUCAAGAGAUUGGGGGUUCGAGUCCCCCUAUCCGGACCA
rnacentral:tRNA from 1 species